rnacentral:lncRNA from 1 species
GUAUGAUUCCUGUCCUUCUAUGUUCCUCUUCCCUCCCCCAGCCAACUCCCUGCCUGAAGAGGAAGAAAAAGCAAUGCAGAGCAUCCAGAACUUUAAAUGACUGGUGUUUAACAAUAUUUCAACUGAAGGACACCAAGAGUGCAAAA